rnacentral:rRNA from 1 species
GAUGAACGCUGGCGGCGUGCCUAAUACAUGCCAGUCGAGCGAACAGACGAGGAGCUUGCUUCUCUGACGUUAGCGGCGGACGGGUGAGUAACACGUGGAUAACCUACCUAUAAGACUGGGAUAACUUCGGGAAACCGGAGCUAAUACCGGAUAAUAUAUUGAACCGCAUGGUUCAAUAGUGAAAGACGGUUUUGCUGUCACUUAUAGAUGGAUCCGCGCCGCAUUAGCUAGUUGGUAAGGUAACGGCUUACCAAGGCAACGAUGCGUAGCCGACCUGGGAGGGUGAUCGGCCACACUGGAACUGAGACACGGUCCAGACUCCUACGGGAGGCAGCAGUAGGGAAUCUUCCGCAAUGGGCGAAAGCCUGACGGAGCAACGCCGCGUGAGUGAUGAAGGUCUUCGGAUCGUAAAACUCUGUUAUUAGGGAAGAACAAAUGUGUAAGUAACUAUGCACGUCUUGACGGUACCUAAUCAGAAAGCCACGGCUAACUACGUG